UACAGAGGGGGCAAGCGUUGUUCGGAAUUACUGGGCGUAAAGGGCGCGUAGGCGGCCUUUCUAAGUCGAACGUGAAAUCCCCGGGCUCAACCCGGGAACUGCGUCCGAUACUGGAAGGCUUGAAUCCGGGAGAGGGAUGUGGAAUUCCAGGUGUAGCGGUGAAAUGCGUAGAUAUCUGGAGGAACACCGGUGGCGAAGGCGACAUCC
rnacentral:rRNA from 1 species